CCUUGGGCCCUGAAGAGGCCUCCAGGCUCACAGGGAACCCUUCAUGGCACAGAUGGGGAAAGCGAGGCAGAAGAGGGUUUGCAGUUGAUCGAGUACUGGACUCCUCAUGCAGUGCUCCGUUCCUAGUGCCCCACCGAGAUGGGGAAACUGAGGCCCACAGAGUGGAUGUGGCCUCCUCCAGGUAACUCAGCAGUUGGUGGUGCUGGGACGAGAACGCUGGUCUGCUAGUGCCCAGCACAGGGCUCCUCCCACCACUCUACACUAAUGAGGGAAGUGCAAAAUGUGACACUCAGCCCACCGUCUGAGUUGCAAAGAGGAAGAAAACGAAGUGGGGUUGCUGUGGCUUAAGUGGGAAAAGAAGCUUGGCUGAUCCAAGAACUCUGAACACUUGGGCCUGAAUCUUAUUUAAGGUACCAAGAAUGACCAGGUCUUGCGAGUCCAAGAGGAAGGAGUGUGAGCUUCAGAUGUCAGACCUUGGAGAAUGUCUGCCCCUGGUUCCCCCGUCAUACACAUGGUGAAAAUUGGAAUAACACAAGAGAGAUAGCAAGGAAAAGAGGGUCUCCCUCCUUCCUCAGUUCCUGAUCUCACUUUCCAGAGGUAUGGAAGACUCAGAGAAGUAGCUUGUCCAGAGCCACAUAGCUGGUCAAUAGCAGAGCAGAGUUUGGACUCUGGGUCUCCAGAUUUUUCCUCUAAGAUACACAGCAGUCUCUGUCCUUCCCACUCAUGAUUGUGCUUCCCCAUACCCAAGCAUGACUAUUUACACACACAGGCACCCAUGCCCCCCAUUAUGGGUUGAAUUGUGUCCUCAAAAAGAUAUGUUCAACUUCUAAGCGCCAGUCCUGUGAACGUGACCUUAUUUGGAAACAGGGUCUUUGUCAAUAUGAUUAGUUAAGAUGAAGCCAAACUGGAUUAGGGUGGGCCCUAAGCCAAUGUGACUGGUGUCCUUAUAAGAAGAGGGAAAUUUGGACAUAGACAGGCACAGGGGAGAAAACCACAUGACGCCAGAGGCAGAGACAAAGUGCUACGGCUGCAAGCCAAGGAAUGCGGGCAAUCACCAAAAGCCAGGAAAGAGGCAAGGAAGGACGCGCCCCUCCAGGUUCCAGAUGGAGCAUGGCCCUGCCCACACCUUGAUUCCAGCCUUUUAGCCUCUGCAAUGGCGAGACAAUAAAUCUCUGUUGUUUUAAGCCACCUGGUUUGUGGUACUUACUGAAGCCCUAGGGAACUAAGACAACACACACACACACACACACACACACACACACACACAUACACACAUACACAAACACAAUAAAAAUUGUUUUUCACUUUCAUUUCUUUUGCCCCUCUCAUUUAGAGAUCUUGGAACUCUAUCAUGAGAGGUACAGUAUGGGGGGAAGCCCUCCAGGCCAGUUUGUAUAUUUAUGUCCCCCAGAAAAAGCCAUAUUCUUUAAUGCAUUCUUGUGGUGACAGACGUAUUA